rnacentral:rRNA from 1 species
CCUACGGGAGGCUGCAGUGAGGAAUAUUGGUCAAUGGCCGAGAGGCUGAACCAGCCAAGUCGCGUGAGGGAAGACGGCCCUAUGGGUUGUAAACCUCUUUUGUCGGGGAGCAAAGCCAAACACGUGUGGCUCACUGAGAGUAUCCGAAGAAAAAGCAUCGGCUAACUCCGUGCCAGCAGCCGCGGUAAUACGGAGGAUGCGAGCGUUAUCCGGAUUUAUUGGGUUUAAGGGGUGCGUAGGCGGUGGGGCAAGUCAGCGGUAAAAUGCCGGGGCUCAACCCCGUACUGCCGUUGAAUCUGGUUGCCUUGAGUGUGCGAGAGGUAGGCGGAAUGCGUGGUGUAGCGGUGAAAUGCAUAGAUAUCACGCAGAACUCCGAUUGCGAAGGCAGCAUACCGGCGCGCAACUGACGCUCAUGCACGAAAGCGUGGGUAUCGAACAGGAUUAGAUACCCGAGUAGUC